GGAGAGAUGGCUGAGCGGACCAAAGCGACGAAUUGCUAAUCCGUAGCACGGAUUAUCCGUAUCGAGGGUUCGAAUCCCUCUCUCUUCG
rnacentral:tRNA from 1 species